rnacentral:lncRNA from 1 species
AUGACGUCAAAUCGCACGAUUCAAACACGCCUGCCUGCACGCUUGUCAAAUUUGAACUUUGUUCGCUGAAUCAGAAAUUGAAUAAAACCUUUGUACUAACUGUGGCUGUUUCAGUUGGACGAGUUCGCGUUGUUGUAAUUACGUUCUCGCGUAAUGUCGUGUUAAUGGGAAAAUUUUUAAGCUUGUUAUGGUCCACACGUUUCAAAUAAUGCUUUUUGAAGCCCUAGAAAUGUUAUUUUAAUGGACGUGUGGUGAUAGCACACUGGUUCGUUCCGAAAGUUGCCAACUUUGAUCUUCAGGAAGGUUCUACAUGUAUAAUGUUUGCUACCAGAAGAAAGAAAAAAAACCUAAGAAAGGGACCUAAGCUCCAACAACUGGAAACGUAAAUAAUGAAUCGCGAGGGUGACUUACGGCCGGCAGUCAGGGUAUGGUGAAGGAUACAGCUCAACAAGACUGUUGCUACUUUAAUGAUCGCCAUCACUUUAAAUCCAAUUUUGGUGGACAGAAAAUCUAUAUCAACCUGGAAAGAAGAAACGGAACGGCCACACACAUAAGUGACUCAGACGGUCGCCUUUUGGAUCACUUCACUCGCUUGUAUCGAGGAUGAUGGUAGCCAGUAGUACUCUUCGAAAUGGAAGGAUGUUCAAGACACUGGAAAGUGUAUACGGGAAAUUAGUUUUGAAAAUCGUGCUUGGAGAUGCACGAGAAUAACACUGUCUAAUGCAACAGGAACCUUACUCAGAGAAGGAAAAUGGGUUGCAUUAGGUGGAGCUCAUAAAAGGACUUCAUAAAAAUCAUUCUGCUGAAAAGGAAUGGAAAAUUCUCGAGCGAGAUAUUCUAUGAUGGAACUUAGAACCUCGCUUAAAGUUUUGAGUACGGCAGAUUACUGUGUGCGUCAUCACAAAAUAUUUUAAAGAUUUGAAAGUCUGGGCACUGUACCAAGCCAACACACAGGUUUAUUUGCCCUCUAGAAACCUCUCAUCAGAUUAAAUCGGACAACAUUGUAAUGCUAUACAGCGAGAAAUGCAUAGAAUAAAAAUGUAUGGUUGCAGAUAGCAACGAGAUUCGAA